rnacentral:ncRNA from 1 species
ACCGUCCUUAUCUCGGGGUUGCGCGGCCGCCCGAUGAACGCGUGGUGAGGGCGGCCCUGCUGACGCCUCAAGCAACACAACAGCGCCCGCCUCGCGCGUGGCGCAAUUUUUGGAACC